AUUGAACGCUGGCGACAUGCCUUACACAUGCAAGUCGAACGGCAGCACGGGUGCUUGCACCUGUUGGCGAGUGGCGAACGGGUGAGUAAUACAUCGGAACAUGUCCUGUAGCGGUGGAUAGCCCGGCGAAAGCCGGAUUAAUACCGCAUACGAUCUACGGAUUACAUCGGGGGACCUUCGGGCCUCGCGCCGUAGGGUUGGCCGAUGGCUGAUUAGCUAGUUGGUGGGGUAAUGGCCUACCAAGGCGACGACGAGUAGCUGGUCGGAGAGGACGACAAGUCACCUUGGAACUGAGCCACGGACACGGCUCCUGAGGGACGGAGCAGUGGGGAACUUUGGACAAUGGUGGAAAGCAUGAUCCAGCAAUCCCGAGUGUGAGGCGACGGCGUUGGGUUUGUAAAGACCUUUUGUCCGGAGAGAAACUCUUGGCCCUAAUACGGUCGGGAGAUGACGGUACCGGAAGAAUAAGCACCGGCUAACUACGUG
rnacentral:rRNA from 1 species